rnacentral:rRNA from 1 species
UCGAACGGGUGAGUAAUGUAUCGGAACGUACCUUUCAGUGGGGGAUAACGUAGCGAAAGUUACGCUAAUACCGCAUAUUCUGUGAGCAGGAAAGCAGGGGAUCGCAAGACCUUGCGCUGAUUGAGCGGCCGAUAUCAGAUUAGCUAGUUGGUGAGGUAAAGGCUCACCAAGGCGACGAUCUGUAGCGGGUCUGAGAGGAUGAUCCGCCACACUGGAACUGAGACACGGUCCAGACUCCUACGGGAGGCAGCAGUGGGGAAUUUUGGACAAUGGGGGCAACCCUGAUCCAGCCAUGCCGCGUGAGUGAAGAAGGCCUUCGGGUUGUAAAGCUCUUUCGGCCGGGAAGAAAUCGUAUGGGCUAAUACCCUGUGCGGAUGACGGUACCGGCAUAAGAAGCACCGGCUAACUACGUGCCAGCAGCCGCGGUAAUACGUAGGGUGCGAGCGUUAAUCGGAAUUACUGGGCGUAAAGCGUGCGCAGGCGGUUUUGUAAGACAGGCGUGAAAUCCCCGGGCUCAACCUGGGAACUGCGCUUGUGACUGCAAGGCUAGAGUAUGGCAGAGGGGGGUGGAAUUCCACGUGUAGCAGUGAAAUGCGUAGAGAUGUGGAGGAACACCAAUGGCGAAGGCAGCCCCCUGGGCCAAUACUGACGCUCAUGCACGAAAGCGUGGGUAGCAAACAGGAUUAGAUACCCUGGUAGUCCACGCCCUAAACGAUGUCAACUAGGUGUUGGGUGGGUAAAACCAUUUAGUACCGGAGCUAACGCGUGAAGUUGACCGCCUGGGGAGUACGGCCGCAAGGUUAAAACUCAAAGGAAUUGACGGGGACCCGCACAAGCGGUGGAUGAUGUGGAUUAAUUCGAUGCAACGCGAAAAACCUUACCUACCCUUGACAUGUCCAGGAGCCUGAAGAGAUUUGGGUGUGCCCGAAAGGGAACUGGAACACAGGUGCUGCAUGGCUGUCGUCAGCUCGUGUCGUGAGAUGUUGGGUUAAGUCCCGCAACGAGCGCAACCCUUGUCGUUAAUUGCCAUCAUUUAGUUGGGCACUUUAACGAGACUGCCGGUGACAAACCGGAGGAAGGUGGGGAUGACGUCAAGUCCUCAUGGCCCUUAUGGGUAGGGCUUCACACGUCAUACAAUGGUCGGUACAAAGGGUUGCCAACCCGCGAGGGGGAGCCAAUCCCAGAAAGCCGAUCGUAGUCCGGAUUGCAGGCUGCAACUCGCCUGCAUGAAGUCGGAAUCGCUAGUAAUCGUGGAUCAGCAUGUCACGGUGAAUACGUUCCCGGGUCUUGUACACACCGCCCGUCACACCAUGGGAGCGGGUUCCGCCAGAAGUAGGUAGCCUAACCGCAAGGGGGGCGCUUACCACGGCGGGGUUCGUGACUGGGGUGAAGUCGAAACAAGGUA